AUAUAGCCCAGCUGUAGAGUGUUUGCCUGGCAUGCAAGAGGCUCCAGGUUCAAUCCCCGGUAU
rnacentral:tRNA from 1 species